UACGGAGGGUGCAAGCGUUGUUCGGAUUUAUUGGGCGUAAAGCGCGCGCAGGCGGUUCUUUAAGUCAGGUGUGAAAUCUCGGGGCUCAACCCCGAAACUGCGCCUGAAACUAUUGAACUAGAAUCUUGGAGAGGAAAGGGGAAUUUCACGUGUAGGGGUAAAAUCCGUAGAGAUGUGAAGGAACACCAGAGGCGAAGGCGCCUUUCUGGCCAAGUAUUGACGCUGAGGCGCGAAAGCGUGGGUAGCAAACAGG
rnacentral:rRNA from 1 species